AUUGAACGCUGGCGGCAUGCUUUACACAUGCAAGUCGAACGGUAACAGGUUAAGCUGACGAGUGGCGAACGGGUGAGUAAUGCAUCGGAACGUGCCCGGUCGUGGGGGAUAACGCAGCGAAAGCUGCGCUAAUACCGCAUACGAUCUGAGGAUGAAAGCGGGGGACCGUAAGGCCUCGCGCGAUCGCGGCGGCCGGUGUCAGAUUAGGUAGUUGGUGAGGUAAAGGCUCACCAAGCCAACGAUCUGUGGCUGGUCUGAGAGGACGCCCGGCCACACUGGGACGGGGACACGGCCCAGACUCAUACGGGGGGAAGCAGUGGGGAAUUUUGGAAAAUGGGCGAAAGCCUGAGCCAGCAAUGCCGCGUGCAGGAAGAAGGCCUUCGGGUUGUAAACUGCUUUUGUACGGAGCAAAAAGGCUCUCUCUAAUACAGGGGGCUCAUGACGGUACCGUAAGAAUAAGCACCGGCUAACUACGUGCCAGCCGCCGCAGUAA
rnacentral:rRNA from 1 species